GACGAACGCUGGCGGCGUGCUUAACACAUGCAAGUCGAACGCUGAAGCUUGGUGCUUGCACUGGGUGGAUGAGUGGCGAACGGGUGAGUACUACGUGUGUAACCUGUCUUUGACUCUGGGAUAAGCCUGUGAACCUGGGUCUAAUACUGGAUACGACUUGUCACCGCAUGGUGGUGUGUGGAAAGGGAUCUACUGGUUUUGGAUGGGCUCACGGCCUAUCAGCUUGUUGGGGGGGUAAUGGCUCACCAAGGCGACGACGGGUAGCCGGCCUGAGAGAGUAGCCGGCCACACUGGGACUGAGACACGGCCCAGACUCCUACGGGAGGCAUCAGUGGGAAAUAUUGCACAAUGGGCGGAAGCCUGAUGAAGCGACGCCGCGUGAGGGAUGACGGCCUUCGGGUUGUAAACCUCUUUCAGCACGGAAGGAGCGAAAGUGACGGUACGUGCAGAAGAAGCACCGGCUAACUACGUG
rnacentral:rRNA from 1 species